rnacentral:rRNA from 1 species
UACGGGGGGGGCAAGCGUUGUUCGGAAUUACUGGGCGUAAAGGGCUCGUAGGCGGCCAACUAAGUCGGACGUGAAAUCCCUCGGCUUAACCGGGGAACUGCGUCUGAUACUGGAUGGCUUGAGUUUGGGAGAGGGAUGCGGAAUUCCAGGUGUAGCGGUGAAAUGCGUAGAUAUCAGAAGGAACAUCAGUGGCGAAAGCGGCUUCCUGGACCAGAACUGACGAUCAGGCACGAAAGCGUGGGGAGCAAACAGG